GAGGUUGGUUGAUUCAAACCUAUGCAAUGAAAUCAGGCCUUUUCUUUUCUUUUCUUUUCAUCAGUAGAUAGAUGAGGCUAGCCUUGCAUUUACUGGGGAUUGGCUAUCAUCACAUACAAGAGUUAAUAUUCUUUUUGAAUAAAAAAAAUGACACAAGAUUUUGGCAAAUGAUAAUCUGUACUCCUUAAGUAGCAUAUUGGCUCAUGAAUAUGCUGAUAAUUGGAAUAUGACGGUCCAAUGAUCAAAAAGUCGUUCGCCUGACUGCCUAGGCGGCUUUCUCGUUCUUAAGGCGGUCACUAUUGGGCACCAGAACUAGGCAGCCGCCUAGGCGGUCGGGUGGACAAUUAGGCAGUUGAAAAGGCGCCCGCCUAGGCAGCAUGCAGGAGUUUGGCCAAAAAAAAUUUUGGGAGGGGAAAAAAAGGCCCUUUUACCCCUUUUAAGAGGGGAUAAGGGUUUGGGCGGCCAUUCUUACCCCCAAAAACAAUUUUAGUGAACUUUAGAGUGAGAAACAACUUGAAAAAAACUAGAUUUGAAGAUUUUUUGAGAGAUCAAUUUUGUUUUCGAAAUCCUCUAAUGGUCACUAUAUUAAAGGAUAUUCAACCCUAAUCUUUUUGAGGCUUAUAGGGGUUAUAAAAGGGGAGACUUGGGAUCCCAAACAUUUCGGUUUGGCCCGAAAUUGAGCCCACUUCAAGAAGGUUGGUAUAUUUCAAUAGUUUUCAUUAGGUUUUGUAUUUUUUCUCCUUAAUGUCUAAUGAUGUUAUUUUUUGCUAUUUGUAUUUUUCUUUGGUACUUUGUGAUAUAUAUUUGAUAUGCUAUUGUCUAUUUGGAUUAUUAUUUUAUUAGUCAGUUUAAUAAUUGCUCAAUUCUUGAUUGCUUAUUAAAUAAUUGUAUGUGUAAUGUGUUUCUUCGAUGUAGUUUGUGGCCUUUGUUGGUCGGAUAUAAGUUCAUACGACUUUUUGCUAAUGACUUUUCAAACUUUUGUGACUUGUGGGUGACUUGUGAUUUGGGAGAUUUAAUUGACAUCUCGAGUUCAUUUUAUCUUUUAAUGUUGAUUUCGAGUCAUAAUUAUUUUAUUUAUAGUCUAAAAGUUGUAAAUGUUUAAGUUGUAAAUAAUUAAACAGAUAAUUUUAUAUAUAAUAAAAUGAAGGGAGGUGUGGGGGAUCCAAAUUUUUUUAAAAAAUCACCAGCUGUUUUUGGGUCUAGGACACCCCCCCCCCCCCCCCACCUAGGCGGCCACCUCCAACUUAUUGAACAUUGUGACCAUCCAACCUUGAGUAGUUUCGACUUUUGAACAGAUCUUAUUUAUAGUUUUGGACUAUUUGUGUAUUGGCUAACAUAUUAUUAUGAGUUUUUUGUUUUGUUCAUCUAAUAUUCUCUUAUUAGCACGUAAAACAUAAAAAACAAUCUGUAGGGAACUUACUGGUCACCAAAAUCUUCCCUUGCAAAAAAGUGUGUGUUUUGAAAGUAUGAACAUGCUAUGACAUUGUAAUGUGUGAAGUUGAUUUGUUUGUUUCUUUUUCAG
rnacentral:lncRNA from 1 species